rnacentral:rRNA from 1 species
UAAAACCAGCUCUUCAAGUGGUCGGGAUAAUUAUUGGGCUUAAAGUGUCCGUAGCCGGUUUAGUUUGUUCCUGGUAAAAUCGGGUAGCUUAACUAUCUGUAUGCUAGGAAUACUAUUAUACUAGAGGGCGGGAGAGGUCUGAGGUACUACAGGGGUAGGGGUGAAAUCUUAUAAUCCUUGUAGGACCACCAGUGGCGAAGGCGUCAGACUGGAACGCGCCUGACGGUGAGGGACGAAAGCCAGGGGAGCGAACCGGAUUAGAUACCCGGGUAGUCCUGGCCGUAAACGAUGCAUUCUAAGUGAUGGCACGGCCAUGAGCCGUGUCAGUGCCGUAGGGAAACCGUUAAGAGUGCCGCCUGGGAAGUACGGUCGCAAGGCUA